rnacentral:lncRNA from 1 species
CCCUCUGCAAUCAUCAUCUUCUACCAUCAUCUUCAACCUCAUCAAUUUUUCUUAACUCAUCAUCUCCUAACACACACCUCCACCCUUCUUUUUUUUUAUCUGUAACCAACCCAAACACUACUACCCGUUUCUUCCAACACCUUUCAAUUUAUCCCCAUCAAUCCUCCAUAACACCGAAACACAACCAAACAGAGAAGGACCCACCAAUUUCCAACCUCCACCGAAAAUCAAACCAAGCUAUCCAAAUUUCAUUCCACUGCAAAACCUGAUU